UUUGUCCUGUUUUGUUAACUUGAGAUAGGGUCUGGCUUUGCUCUUCAGGCUUUCUCCGACUUGUGGCCCCCGACUCUGUUUAGCUCUCCGAAUGCUGGCGUUUAUAGACAUGUCCACAACAUUGACUUUUGCCUGACAAUUUUUUUUACAUUUAUCCAAGUACUUUUUUAUCUUUUUGUUAAAUCUUCUCCUCUUGGCCACCCUAUUCUCUCCAUCUAAGUUUCUUAAAAACAUUAUCUUUACCUUUGUAUUUGUCUCCUCAUCUUCCACAGCUGUUCUCCUGGAAUAUUUUUAAUGAAAUAAAAAAUGUUAGCUUUAUUUUGCAACGGUAUAUUGAAAAUGUCUGAUGCAUAUCUCAAUGUAACACCUUUGGAGCUUCGGGGGCAUGAUGCACUUUGUUCUUUUUAAAACUUCUCUCAUUGAUUCUCUAAGGAGGAUGCCCUCCGGUGUCCCUUCCCAGUCCUGCAAUCAUCUUCUCUGAAGCUACUCUGUCAGAUGGGCUUCCUGUCCUAUGCCAUUGCUGCUCUUCUCAAAGAUCUGCAAUUCCUGAUAGAUUCUCUUCUGUUUUCCAAGACGGCUCGUGAUCAUUGCCUUCCUUUUGGAAGAACACCGAUAAGGAAACCUCAAAAAAAAACCUUCCUGGACUUUUGAGAAGGAAAAGAUGGAGAUGGGACAAAAAGAGUGAAAAGAUCAACAAGACACAACACUGGCCACAAGACUACUUUGGGCAAAUAAUGAAAGCAGAUGAAAAAUAAGUUUCUUCACAGGUCAAUCUAGCCUUGGAGCAGCAUAUACAGAGAGAGGUCAGAGCUGAGGGAGUGUCAGAGAGGAACACGAGAGAGAGAGAGAGAGAGAGAGAGAGAGAGAGAGAGAGAGAGAGAGAGAGAGAGAGAGAGAGAGAGAGAGAGAGANNNNNNNNNNUCAUGCAGAUGCAGUUCAUAGUUCCUUGCCUACUACUGUAGAGAAGUCCACUCUUUGACAGUAAUCAACAUAGUAACUUCUGUUGUGCUUUG
rnacentral:lncRNA from 1 species